CACAGCCUGAACCUCUGAUUGAUCACCUGGGGCGAGCAACGAGUCAGCCAGAGGAGCACAGCUGAAGGCGGUUCACCUGUGUGACAGGAAGGGUGGAGCCUGGCUGCACUUCUGAACCCCAUUUAAGGGCUGGCUGCCUCUGGGGAAGGACCUCUGCUGUGGUGUUGUGGUUUCUGUUGUCAGUGUUCCACAUCGGAACGUUAUGUAAAACAGGAGAGGAGAAGCAGCUUUCCUGGAGGACCUGGAGUACAGGAGAGAGAAGGUGGAGCUCCUGGCUGGACUGAAGCAGAGAAAAAGCCGGUGCAGGAUGUCCCCGAGGUUCUCACGGAUGGUUGCCCAAGUGACACGGCGCUCUCCAGACCCAGUGGCCUCCACAGCAUGUCGGGCGAGCUCAUAGAAGGUGACG